rnacentral:rRNA from 1 species
AUACGUAGGGGGCGAGCGUUGUCCGGAAUGAUUGGGCGUAAAGGGCGCGUAGGCGGCUUUGCAAGUCAGUAGUGGAAGUCCAUUUUUCAAGGAUGGAAGUGCUACAGAAACUGUAUGACUUGAGUGCAGGAGAGGUAAGCGGAAUUCCUAGUGUAGCGGUGAAAUGCGUAGAUAUUAGGAGGAACACCGGUGGCGAAGGCGGCUUACUGGACUGUAACUGACGCUGAGUCACGAAAGCGUGGGUAGCAAACAGGAUUAGAUACCCUGGUAGUCCACGCCGUAAACGAUGAGUACUAGGUGUGGGGGGACUGACCCCCUCCGUGCCGCAGUUAACACAAUAAGUAUUCCACCUGGGGAGUGCGAUCGCAAGAUUGAAACUCAAAGGAAUUGGCGGGG